rnacentral:rRNA from 1 species
AGAGGGGGACAACAGUUGGAAACGACUGCUAAUACCGCAUAAGCCCACGGCUCGGCAUCGAGCAGAGGGAAAAGGAGCAAUCCGCUUUGAGAUGGCCUCGCGUCCGAUUAGCUAGUUGGUGAGGUAACGGCCCACCAAGGCGACGAUCGGUAGCCGGACUGAGAGGUUGAACGGCCACAUUGGGACUGAGACACGGCCCAGACUCCUACGGGAGGCAGCAGUGGGGAAUAUUGCACAAUGGGGGAAACCCUGAUGCAGCGACGCCGCGUGGAGGAAGAAGGUCUUCGGAUUGUAAACUCCUGUUGUUGGGGAAGAUAAUGACGGUACCCAACAAGGAAGUGACGGCUAACUACGUGCCAGCAGCCGCGGUAAAACGUAGGUCACAAGCGUUGUCCGGAAUUACUGGGUGUAAAGGGAGCGCAGGCGGGAAGACAAGUUGGAAGUGAAAUCUAUGGGCUCAACCCAUAAACUGCUUUCAAAACUGUUUUUCUUGAGUAGUGCAGAGGUAGUGGAAUUCCCGGUGUAGCGGUGGAAUGCGUAGAUAUCGGGAGGAACACCAGUGGCGAAGGCGGCCUACUGGGCACCAACUGACGCUGAGGCUCGAAAGUGUGGGUAGCAAACAGGAUUAGAUACCCUGGUAGUCCACACCGUAAACGAUGAUUACUAGGUGUUGGAGGAUUGACCCCUUCAGUGCCGCAGUUAACACAAUAAGUAAUCCACCUGGGGAGUACGACCGCAAGGUUGAAACUCAAAGGAAUUGACGGGGGCCCGCACAAGCAGUGGAGUAUGUGGUUUAAUUCGACGCAACGCGAAGAACCUUACCAAGUCUUGACAUCCCUUGACAGGCAUAGAAAUAUGUUUUCUCUUCGGAGCAAGGAGACAGGUGGUGCAUGGUUGUCGUCAGCUCGUGUCGUGAGAUGUUGGGUUAAGUCCCGCAACGAGCGCAACCCUUAUGGUCAGUUACUACGCAAGAGGACUCUGGCCAGACUGCCGUUGACAAAACGGAGGAAGGUGGGGAUGACGUCAAAUCAUCAUGCCCUUUAUGACUUGGGCUACACACGUACUACAAUGGCGUUAAACAAAGAGAAGCAAGACCGCGAGGUGGAGCAAAACUCAGAAACAACGUCCCAGUUCGGACUGCAGGCUGCAACUCGCCUGCACGAAGUCGGAAUUGCUAGUAAUCGUGGAUCAGCAUGCCACGGUGAAUACGUUCCCGGGCCUUGUACACACCGCCCGUCACACCAAAAC